GACGAACGCUGGCGGCGUGCUUAACACAUGCAAGUCGAACGGAAAGGCCCUGCUCUUGUGUGGCUCUCGAGUGGCGAACGGGUGAGUAACACGUGAGUAACCUGCCCUUGACUUUGGGAUAACUUCAGGAAACUGGGGCUAAUAUCGGAUAGGAGCUCCUGCUGCAUGGGGGGGGAUGGAAAGUUUCGGCGGUUGGGGCUGGACUCGCGGCUUCUCAGCUAGUUGGUGUGGGAGGGGCGGACCAAGGCUUUGAAGGGUAGCCGGCCUGAGAGGGUGACCGGCCACAUGGGGACUACGGUACGGCCCAGACGCCUACGUGAGGCAGCAGGGGGGAAUAUUGCACAAUGGGCGGACGCCUGAUGUAGCAACGCCGCGUGCGGGAUGACGGCCUUCGGGUUGUAAACCGCUUUCGCCUUUGACGAAGCGUGAGUGACGGUAAUGGGUAAAGAAGCACCGGCUAACUACGUG
rnacentral:rRNA from 1 species